UACGUAGGGGGGCAAGCGUUGUCCGGAUUUAUUGGGCGUAAAGAGCGUGUAGGCGGCCUGAAAGGUCAGCUGUGAAAAACUCGAGGCUCAACCUCGAGAUGUCGGUUUGAAAACCAUCUGGCUAGAGUCCGGAAAGAGGAGAGUGGAAUUCCCGGUGUAGCGGUGAAAUGCGCAGAUAUCGGGAAGAACACCCGUGGCGAAGGCGGCUCUCUGGGACGGUACUGACGCUGAGACGCGAAAGCGUGGGGAGCGAACAGG
rnacentral:rRNA from 1 species